rnacentral:tRNA from 1 species
CAUUAGGUAACUUAAAGUAAGUCAUGAAAUUUUAAAUCAUUUUAUAUUAUAGUAACGCAUAAUCCUAAUGA